ACUUACAGCCAUACCAUCCUGAAUACGCCUGAUCUCGUCUGAUCUCGGAAGCUAAGCAGGGUCUGGCCUGGUUAGUACUUGGAUAGGAGACAGCCUGGGAAUACCAGGUGCUGUAAGUG
rnacentral:rRNA from 1 species